rnacentral:rRNA from 1 species
CCUACGGGAGGCAGCAGUGAGGAAUAUUGGUCACUGGACGAGAGUCUGAACCAGCCAAGUAGCGUGAAGGAUGACUGCCCUAUGGGUUGUAAACUUCUUUUAUAUGGGAAUAAAAUGUUCCACGUGUGGGAUUUUGUAUGUACCAUAUGAAUAAGGAUCGGCUAACUCCGUGCCAGCAGCCGCGGUAAUACGGAGGAUCCGAGCGUUAUCCGGAUUUAUUGGGUUUAAAGGGAGCGUAGGUUGAUUGUUAAGUCAGUUGUGAAAGUUUGCGGCUCAACCGUAAAAUUGCAGUUGAAACUGGCAGUCUUGAGUACAGUAGAGGUGGGCGGAAUUCGUGGUGUAGCGGUGAAAUGCUUAGAUAUCACGAAGAACUCCGAUUGCGAAGGCAGUUCACUGGACUGCAACUGACACUGAGGCUCGAAAGUGUGGGUAUCAAACAGGAUUAGAUACCCUAGUAGUC